UGUCCCAUGGCUCUGCCCAUGCCCAAGGGAGGGGGAUUAUCCAGUGGUGCAGACUGGCGGGGGUAUCUGGGAAUUCUGCCAGCACAGGAGUGAUGACAGCUGUGCGUCUCUGUCAUUUGAAUGAACUAAAGUCCAGAGGACUUGUGUGAGGUUCUUGAAGUCUGGCCUAGACUCUCCAGAAAACUCUCAGGAGAUAUGAACUUCUGGCUCUACCACUAACUACUGAUGCUGUUGGAAGAAGACAUUUAACCUUUUUGAACAUCACCAGUUUCUUGUCUCUGUAGAAGGAUGGGAUUGAUUGGUAUGAUUGUUUCCUUAAAGAUCUGAGACUGAUUUGGGGAAUUUACACAUUUAAUCACCAUUUGUUUGAUGUUGGCCAUAUGCUAGGCACCAUUCUAUGUACUAUGGGUACAUUGUAGUCUGUUACUAUGAUGAGGGAGAAUUUCAAGCCCAUACAAAGGAGAUGAUGAAUCAAUAACUAGGAAAAAAUUUAACCAAGGAGUUACACAGUGACUGGCAUUAACACCAAUGAGCCACAUGCUUGGCAACCUUCAAGGGCUUGGAAUUUAGCUCAAUGGUUCUGCUGCCUGUCUCGCAAGCACAAGGUCCUGAGUUUGAUUCCUGGUACCAAAAAAAAAAAAAGAGUAAAUUUAUUCAAGCAUCCUAACCACAAAAAUGAUCAGUAGAUGAGAUAAUAAAUACAUUAACUACCUUGAUUUAGUCAUUUCACAAUGUCUAUGUUUCAAAACAUCACAUUGUACACCAUGAAUUUUAUUUGUCA